rnacentral:lncRNA from 1 species
AGAUUCCAGCCUCAGCAUUCCCAGAGAAGGCCCAGGAUCUCCCUGAGAGGCUCAGUUGGUGUUUGUGGAAUCAUCACUCCUCUGGUGAUCACGCAGUUUGCCUCACUUUCUCCAUGGAGCUCUUUGCUAAAGGACAUUCUCCUCCACAGCUGUGAAGGAAAAGCCCAACAAAAGGCAGGGUAUUUUGUUCUAACUGAGGAUGUCUACUGACACAGCCAAGCUGUAAAGCAGACCACGGACGGCAGCGCAGCGGGGAGAACAACUCUACAUCUGGUUGGAGGUGGAGUAAUGUCCAGUCUGGGCACAGAGAGAUGGCAGGUGUGCAGCUGCACUCAGCAUGGGAUAGAAGCACCACCUGCCAGGCCAGAACAGAAAGAAGGGCGACGGAGACUGGCAGAGAAACAGCAAUUACUGCUCAGUGAGAAGUAAACAGCGUCUGCUUCCAGAGGCUUUACGGACCAGAAAGCCCACAGGAAAUAGCUCCUGCUUCCCAGCCUGGAGGUCCUCAUGCACUAGCCCUCCCUGGCCUCCCUGGAUCCCAGUUUAAGCAUCCUGGGGUUUGUCUGCCUGCCAGAGCCAUGGUGCCACUGGGACUACCUGUCCUGUGGGAUGACAAGGCAGGUCCAAACCUUUGCCUGCUCUCCCAUCCAUUCCUUUUGUGUUAGUCCAUGAGUCUCCUGACUGUUCUCUCCAAAAAUAUCGUGUAAUUCCAGCCCUUUUUGAGUUUAUAAAUAAAAGUGAAAAUCUCGUAA